UCUAACUGAGACGGUGUCCAACACUUGGAGAUCUACUUCAUCUACUAAUGAUGGAGCUGCCUCUUUGAUAAUUAAACUCCAUAAUACCAGAAAAGCACUCAAAGCCUGGAUUGCUAAGAUUAGACGUACCACCUCUAAAGAGAAAUCUGAUCUCCUUAAGAUGAUUCAAGACUUAGAUAGAUUGGAGGAAUUGGCAUGUCUCUCUCCUGUAGACUUUCAACUGUGCUUGACCUACAGACAGGAACUACUUCAAAUCUAUAAUAAAGAGAAGAUCUAUUGGAAGCAACGAGCUAAAAUACUACAAAAAAUUUGACUAUUAGCAAUGGCUAAUUGUCGUCGCUAAUACUAUUAAUGACGGCACCCCAUCGUAGUAUUAGUGAUGGUGCCCUGUCGCUAAUUGGUGGUUAGAACAAUCCUAAUCGUUAAUUACUACU
rnacentral:lncRNA from 1 species